rnacentral:rRNA from 1 species
AGCUAAACUGUCUUUUUUGUACAACUUUGCUCCAAAUUGAUUGGUGCUUGCAUCAUGAUUUACAUUUGAGUGAGUGGCGAACUGGUGAGUAACACGUGGGAAACCUGCCCAGAAGCGGGGGAUAACACCUGGAAACAGAUGCUAAUACCGCAUAACAACUUGGACCGCAUGGUCCGAGUUUGAAAGAUGGCUUCGGCUAUCACUUUUGGAUGGUCCCGCGGCGUAUUAGCUAGAUGGUGGGGUAACGGCUCACCAUGGCAAUGAUACGUAGCCGACCUGAGAGGGUAAUCGGCCACAUUGGGACUGAGACACGGCCCAAACUCCUACGGGAGGCAGCAGUAGGGAAUCUUCCACAAUGGACGAAAGUCUGAUGGAGCAACGCCGCGUGAGUGAAGAAGGGUUUCGGCUCGUAAAACUCUGUUGUUAAAGAAGAACAUAUCUGAGAGUAACUGUUCAGGUAUUGACGGUAUUUAACCAGAAAGCCACGGCUAACUACGUGCCAGCAGCCGCGGUAAUACGUAGGUGGCAAGCGUUGUCCGGAUUUAUUGGGCGUAAAGCGAGCGCAGGCGGUUUUUUAAGUCUGAUGUGAAAGCCUUCGGCUCAACCGAAGAAGUGCAUCGGAAACUGGGAAACUUGAGUGCAGAAGAGGACAGUGGAACUCCAUGUGUAGCGGUGAAAUGCGUAGAUAUAUGGAAGAACACCAGUGGCGAAGGCGGCUGUCUGGUCUGUAACUGACGCUGAGGCUCGAAAGUAUGGGUAGCAAACAGGAUUAGAUACCCUGGUAGUCCAUACCGUAAACGAUGAAUGCUAAGUGUUGGAGGGUUUCCGCCCUUCAGUGCUGCAGCUAACGCAUUAAGCAUUCCGCCUGGGGAGUACGGCCGCAAGGCUGAAACUCAAAGGAAUUGACGGGGGCCCGCACAAGCGGUGGAGCAUGUGGUUUAAUUCGAAGCUACGCGAAGAACCUUACCAGGUCUUGACAUACUAUGCAAAUCUAAGAGAUUAGACGUUCCCUUCGGGGACAUGGAUACAGGUGGUGCAUGGUUGUCGUCAGCUCGUGUCGUGAGAUGUUGGGUUAAGUCCCGCAACGAGCGCAACCCUUAUUAUCAGUUGCCAGCAUUAAGUUGGGCACUCUGGUGAGACUGCCGGUGACAAACCGGAGGAAGGUGGGGAUGACGUCAAAUCAUCAUGCCCCUUAUGACCUGGGCUACACACGUGCUACAAUGGAUGGUACAACGAGUUGCGAACUCGCGAGAGUAAGCUAAUCUCUUAAAGCCAUUCUCAGUUCGGAUUGUAGGCUGCAACUCGCCUACAUGAAGUCGGAAUCGCUAGUAAUCGCGGAUCAGCAUGCCGCGGUGAAUACGUUCCCGGGCCUUGUACACACCGCCCGUCACACCAUGAGAGUUUGUAACACCCAAAGUCGGUGGGGUAUACCUACUAGAACCAGC